rnacentral:rRNA from 1 species
UACGAAGGGGGCUAGCGUUGCUCGGAAUCACUGGGCGUAAAGGGUGCGUAGGCGGGUCUUUAAGUCAGGGGUGAAAUCCUGGAGCUCAACUCCAGAACUGCCUUUGAUACUGAAGAUUUUGAGUUCGGGAGAGGUGAGUGGAACUGCGAGUGUAGAGGUGAAAUUCGUAGAUAUUCGCAAGAACACCAGUGGUGAAGGCGGCUCACUGGCCCGAUACUGACGCUGAGGCACGAAAGCGUGGGGAGCAAACAGG